rnacentral:misc_RNA from 1 species
GAAAAAAACAUAAACCUGCUAACAGAGAAGUUUCUCAUGGUGCUUCUGGUAACAUCAAACUCGACCAUGUACAGGAUCAGAAGAACAUCCAAAACUGGAAUUGGAUAUUGCAGAAAAAUGCCAAGUUUCAACAUAAAAAAAUCUUACAUAUGUAGUAUGUCAAUGAAUAACCACACAAUUCUUAGGUAAAUGUGAAAUAGGUUUGGGAGAAAGUUGGUCGUAGAUAGAAUCCUCCUCGCCUGUGUUACUCUUCUCCUGAAAACCUGCUGCUUCCAAGAUAUAAGACUUCACCUGUCGAAAACUCUCUUCAGAUAGAGAAACCUCAGCAAGAAGUCGCCACGCAGAUGUUUCUGAAGCAUCCUCAAAAUCCUUUCUUCUUUUGAGCACUAUAUGUCCACUGAUCUCCCAAACAGCUGGAUUAACUUGAGUCUCUAGAAGCUCCUGGCUUACUUUUCUAAGGGCUUGUUUCUCAGCAUAACAUUGUGGGAAGAGAAAGAUUUUAUUUCCACAAUCAGCAAUCAGCACAUUGAAGGGUAUAUUGUUGUUCUGGAGGUAAAUGCAAGAACUGGCAACAGAAUCAGACAAAUUUUGCAUUGUAUUUCCGCCUUCAAAGACAACACCUUGCACAGGAUAAUUCAAAAGACGAGAUACUAUCACUCCUUGAUCUUGC